rnacentral:rRNA from 1 species
UUAAAAAGCUCGUAGUUGGAUUUCUGGGAGGGUGCCAUUGUCCGCCAACGCGCGUGUGCAGCGGCGCCCUUCCAUCCUUCUGUUAACGCCUCUUGGCAUUGAUUUGCUGGUGGCGGGCUCAGAUAUUUUACCUUGAGAAAAUUAGAGUGUUUCAGGCAGGCUAGGCCGGAAUACAUUAGCAUGGAAUAAUGGAAUAGGACUAUGGUCUCUUUGUUGGUUAGAGGGACUACAGUAAUGAUUAAUAGGGCUAGUUGGGGGCAUUAGUAUUUAAUUGUCAGGGGUGGAAUUCUCAGAUUUGUUAAAGACUAACUUAUGCGAAAGCAUUUGCCAAGGAUGUUUUCAUUAAUCAAGAACGAAAGUUAGGGGAUCAAAGACGAUCAGAUACCGUCCUAGUCUUAACCAUAAACUAUGCCGACUCGGGAUCGGGGGCGAGCACUAUCCGCCUUCGGCACCGUAUGAGAGAUCAAAGUCUUUGGGUUCUGGGGGGAGUAUGGUCGCAAG